UACGUAGGGGGCUAGCGUUGUUCGGAAUUACUGGGCGUAAAGCGCGUGUAGGCGGGCUUUUAAGUCAGGGGUGAAAUGCCAAGGCUCAACCUUGGAACUGCCUUUGAUACUGGAAGUCUUGAGUCCGGGAGAGGUGAGUGGAACUGCGAGUGUAGAGGUGAAAUUCGUAGAUAUUCGCAAGAACACCAGUGGCGAAGGCGGCUCACUGGCCCGGAACUGACGCUGAGACGCGAAAGCGUGGGGAGCAAACAGG
rnacentral:rRNA from 1 species